AUGCAAUGGGCUUUAUAAUGUAAUAGGAUCAAUAAUAAAUGUCUUGAUAAAUAAUUAUUUUCAAUAUUCUGAUUAAAGUAAAACCCUGCAAAUGAAGAACCUAGUUAUCUUUUUUAUGCUAACCUACUAGGGUUAACUGUUUAUGUUUUCAUUUGACGCAAUUGUGAAAGUCAUAUAUUCUUGGACUGCUUCUAUUGUUAUCAGCUAAAGAACCACAUACAUAUAGUUUAGCAUAAGUGAGAAACUAGUUAAACAGAUUUUCAAGCCUAAUAUUCUGUACAACAUAUGUUUACGAUAGACAUUGGUUAGUACUUGCUCAUUGAAAUUAAUGAAAAUAAAUAGAAACAAUGUAUGUAAAAUAAUAUGGUAUAACCGGUGUUCACGGUAGUACUGUUUCUCUAAUGUAACUGUUUAUGUUUUCAUUUGACGCAAUUGUGAAAGUCAUAUAUUCUUGAACUGCUUCUAUUGUGAUCAGCUAAGAAUCACAUACAUAAAGUUUAGCAUAAGUGAGAAACUAGUUAAACAGAUUUUCAAGCCUAAUAUUCUGUACAAGAUAUGUUUAUGAUAGACAUUGGUUAGGGCUUGCUCAUUGAAAUUAAUGAAAAUAAAUAGAAACAAUGUAUGUAAACAAAUAUGGUAUAACCGGUGUUCACGGUAGUACUGUUUCUCUAAUGUAACUGUUUAUGUUUUCAUUUGACGCAAUUGUGAAAGUCAUAUAUUUUUUAACUGCUUCUAUUGUGAUCAGCUAAGAAUCACAUACAUAUAGUUUAGCAUAAGUCAGAAACUAGUUAAACAGUUUUUUCAAUUCUGUACAACAUAUGUUUACAAUAGACAUGCUUAAUAAUAACAGCAAUGCUGAUAAAUUUGUUUUUAAAGAGGGCAUUUCUUAAAUUUUGAAAAAUGCAUACAACAAUAAUACAAAUUAGUCAUCAAAAAUGGGUUUGUUUUGAUUAUAUGAUAGCACCGACCGCCGGUAUAAAGGGGCCUGUGGCACCAGUGUCACCCUUAGGGCCAGUGGGAUCGGUGGGGCCAGCAGGGCCUGUGGCGCCAGUGUCACCCUUUAGGGCCAGUGGGAUCGGUGGGGCCAGUGGGGCCUGUGGCGCCAAUUUCACCCUUAGGGCCAGUGGGACCUGUGGGGCCAGUGGCGCCAGUGUCACCCUUAGGGCCAGUGGGAUCGGUGGGGCCAGUGGGGCCUGUGGCGCCAAUUUCACCCUUAGGGCCAGUGGGAUCGGUGGGGCCAGUGGGGCCUGUGGCGCCAAUUUCACCCUUAGGGCCAGUGGGACCUGUGGGGCCAGUGGCGCCAGUGUCACCCUUAGGGCCAGUGGGAUCGGUGGGGCCAGUGGGGCCUGUGGCGCCAAUUUCACCCUUAGGGCCAGUGGGACCUGUGGGGCCAGUGGCGCCAGUGUCACCCUUAGGGCCAGUGGGAUCGGUGGGGCCAGUGGGGCCUGUGGCGCCAAUUUCACCCUUAGGGCCAGUGGGACCGGUGGGGCCAGCAGGGCCUGUGGCGCCAGUGUCACCCUAAGGGACAGUGGGACCUGUGGGGCCAGUGGGGCCUGUGGCGCCAGUGUCACCCUUAGGGCCAGUGGGACCUGUGGGGCCAGUGGGGCCUGUGGCGCCAAUUUCACCCUUAGGGCCAGUGGGACCUGUGGGGCCAGCAGGGCCUGUGGCGCCAGUGUCACCCUUAGGGACAGUGGGACCUGUGGGGCCAGUGGGGCCUGUGGCGCCAAUUUCACCCUUAGGGCCAGUGGGACCUGUGGGGCCAGCAGGGCCUGUGGCGCCAGUGUCACCCUUAGGGACAGUGGGACCUGUGGGGCCAGUGGGGCCUGUGGCGCCAGUGUCACCCUUAGGGCCAGUGGGACCUGUGGGGCCAGUGGGGCCUGUGGCGCCAAUUUCACCCUUAGGGCCAGUGGGACCUGUGGGGCCAGUGGCGCCAGUGUCACCCUUAGGGCCAGUGGGAUCGGUGGGGCCAGUGGGGCCUGUGGCGCCAAUUUCACCCUUAGGGCCAGUGGGACCUGUGGGGCCAGUGGCGCCAGUGUCACCCUUAGGGCCAGUGGGAUCGGUGGGGCCUGUGUCGCCAGUGUCACCCUUAGGGCCAGUGGGACCUGGUGGCUGCGCCAGCCCCACCUCUUAUUGUACCAAACAUUGAAUAGCUCAAUUGACUAAACCCGCUAUUCGUUGUCGGUUUCCCAGGUCGCGUAUGAUGGUAUGCGUUACGUGGGUAAAUAUUCAAUUGACUAAGCACGCUAUUCGUUGUCGGUGUCCCAGGUCACCUAUGAUGGUAUGCGUUACAUAGGUAAAUAUUAAAUUGACUAAGCACGCUAUUCGUUUUCGGUGUCUCAGGUCGCGUAUGAUGGUAUGCGUUACGUGGGUAAAUAUUCAAUUGACUAAACCCGCUAUUUUUUGUCGGUGUCUCAGUUCGCAUAUGAUGGUAUGCGUUAUUUGGGUAAAUAUUCAAUUGACUAAGCACGCUAUUCGUUGUAGGUGACUCAGGUCGCGUAUGAUGGUAUGCGUUACGUGGGUAAAUAUUCAAUUGACUAAGCACGCUAUUCGUUGUCGGUGUCCCAGGUCGCCUAUGAUGGUAUGCGUUACGUAGGUAAAUAUUUAAUUGACUAAGCACGCUAUUCGUUUUCGGUGUCUCAGGUCGCGUAUGAUUGUAUGCGUUACGUGAGUAAAUAUUCAAUUGACUAAACCCGCUAUUCGUUGUCGUGUCUCAGGUCGCCUAUGAUGGUAUGCGUUGUGUGGGUAAAUAUUCAAUUGACUAAGCCCGCUAUUCGUUGUCGGUGUCCCAGGUCGCCUAUGAUGGUAUGCGUUACGUGGGUAAAUAUUCAAUUGACUAAGCACUCUAUUCGUUGUCGGUGUCCCAGGUCGCCUAUGAUGGUAUGCGUUACGUGGGUAAAUAUUCAAUUGACUAAACCCGCUAUUUGUUGUCGGUGUCUCAGGUCGCGUAUGAUGGUAUGCGUUAUGUGGGUAAAUAUUCAAUUGACUAAGCCCGCUAUUCGUUGUCGGUGUCCCAGGUCGCGUAUGAUGGUAUGCGUUACGUGGGUAAAUAUUCAAUUGACUAAGCACGCUAUUCGUUGUCGGUGUCUCAGGUCGCGUAUGAUGAGAUGCAAAA